rnacentral:lncRNA from 1 species
AAAUUAAUCCCAAGACAUCAAUCAAUCUUUAAAAGUAACGGGUUUUUCCAUGGCAUCAGUAUACCUGAGCCAGAAGACAUGGAAACUCUUGAGGAAAAGUUCUCAGAUGUUCAUCCUGUGGCUCUGAACUUCAUGAAGGGGUGUCUGAAGAUGAAUCCAGAUGACAGAUUAACCUGUUCCCAACUCCUGGAGAGCUCCUACUUUGAUUCUUUUCAAGAGGCCCAAAUUAAAAGAAAAGCACGUAAUGAAGGAAGAAACAGAAGACGCCAACAGAAUCAACUGUUGCCUCUCAUACCAGGAAGCCACAUCUCCCCCACACCUGAUGGAAGAAAACAAGUCCUCCAGUUAAAAUUUGAUCACCUUCCAAACAUUUAGGAAAAUGUUCUUUCAAGUGCAAAGUAAUUUAAUAUGUACACAUUUUGUACAAGUGAGAUAGGAAUUCUCAGUGUUUCAAAUGCAAAUGAGCCAUAUGAAAAUUAAGAUGCCUUCUAGAAUUGUUUUGCUCUGAUCAUUGCUGAUUCCUUUCCCCAUGUUUUACAUGCCAACUUUAUCUUUUAGAAUAUUUUCUUUAAAUGUUAUAAAGCCUAAAACUGCACAUAUGGAAGAGACAUUUUCAAUUUCAUCAGAGCAGCCCCUCCCGAGGCUAUCUAUAUGGAGAAUUUGUGAGCUUAUACUUUGAUUUAUGAAAAAGAUUUACAUGUGUCAUCUUGCUUCAGCUGACCAC